rnacentral:lncRNA from 1 species
AACUUUCCGGUGACAAGUACAGCGUGCGUCCUGUAGCAGGCGGCGGGCUCAUGGUAGGAAUGUCAGGAGGGAACGCGCUCCCCGUCCCCGGUCGGGUCUAGGACUGGCAGGCAGGACGCCUGGGCUGACCAUUCGGGAAACCGGCCAGUGGAAGGCCAGAGUCUAUUAGCUUGGGCUGUUUUCCUGCUUUGUCCCGGGCCCUUGGGUCACGUGGACGGUCUGCGUCGCUGCCACUUCGUACGUACACACCCGGUUCAGAGCUUAAGAGCCGUGUCUCCCUCAGCGUAUUCUGAGGUUUUCUUUGGAAGGGUGAAGAAGGAUGCACAGCUAGUGUCCUCUUGACUCCAAAGCCCAGAAUCUGCUCACUCCAGAGAACCACAGGCAGUGUGUUGAGGGCCUCCGUGCCUCACGUCUCUGCUUCCUUCCCAGACAGGUUAAUGAUACAAAGAGGUUCUCUGGCCGCGCAAGGCACUCGGAGAACUGCAGAGGUCCUGUGAUAAGUACCCCACGGCUUUGUUGUGUGGGGUUCUGACACCGAUUGAUUUACCCCUUAAGGAAGGGCGGUCCUUCAAGUCCGCUGUUGCCCGGUCUCUAGUGAAUAGCUGAAACGACAGGUUUUCUAUGUUCAUUUAGACCUGCCUAGGAGGAAGGGCCCGUCCGAGCUCCAGACUGCCCGUGUUUCCCUGUACUUGGGGCUGUGAGGUGGGGUGGGGGAGGGCUUAGGUUCUUAAAAAUGUUUUUGUUGUUUUGUUUUAAUCUUGUGUGUUUAGUUUGUGUGCAUAUGCUUGUGCUUUGGCAUACGGGGCUCCAGGACGUACUGCGUGAGUAAUUUCUCUUCCUUCACCGUGUUGGCCUGAGGGAUCAAAUUCAAGUUACCCGGUUUGGUACCAAGCACCUGUACUAGAUGGGCUAUCUCACUAACUGCGACUAGGGUUUUGUUUGUUUAGUUGUAAAAAUGGGAGAAGGUACCUAUUUAGAAUAGAAUUCCACC